UAAGUAGGCGGAGGAGAAGAAAACAAAAGUGAUUCCGUAAGUAGUGGCGAGCGAACGCGGAACAGCCCAAACCAAUGUUGUUACGGCAAUAUUGGGGUUGUAGGACCACGACAUUUCUUGCGGACAGAAUUAGAACAAGUUGGAAAGCUUGACCAAAGAGGGUGACAGUCCCGUAUAAGUAAAGGAAGAUAAGAAUAGUGGUAUCCUGAGUAGGUCGGGGCAC
rnacentral:rRNA from 1 species